UCAGCAUUUCGGCCUUUUUUGGCUAAGAUCAAAUGCAAUUUUUGGCACCAAGGGGAAGGUGUCAGGGCUGGCUCUGGCCUUCCCAGUGCUGGCCUGGCAUUGCAGUACUUCCAGGCCCAGUGCCAGUUCC
rnacentral:snRNA from 1 species